rnacentral:rRNA from 1 species
ACCUCGGAUCAGGUAGGGAUACCCGCUGAACUUAAGCAUAUCAAUAAGCGGAGGAAAAGAAACCAACAGGGAUUGCCUCAGUAACGGCGAGUGAAGCGGCAACAGCUCAAAUUUGAAAUCUGGCCUCUUUGGGGUCCGAGUUGUAAUUUGUAGAGGAUGUUUCGGGUACCGCCUCGGUUUAAAUUUCUUGGAACAGAAUGUCAAAGAGGGUGAGAAUCCCGUCUUGGACCGGCGGUAGGGCCCAUGUGAAACUCCUUCGACGAGUCGAGUUGUUUGGGAAUGCAGCUCAAAAUGGGUGGUAAAUUUCAUCUAAAGCUAAAUAUUGGCCAGAGACCGAUAGCGCACAAGUAGAGUGAUCGAAAGAUGAAAAGCACUUUGAAAAGAGAGUUAAACAGUAUGUGAAAUUGUUGAAAGGGAAGCGCUUACAACCAGACUUGCGCGCGGCGGUUCCCCCUUCCUUUUGGUUGGGCUACUCCGUCGUGUCCAGGCCAACAUCGGUUCUGGGGGUCGGUUAAAGACCCUGGGAAUGUAUCUACCCUUCGGGCGUAGACUUAUAGCUCAGGGUGUCAUGCGACCUCCCGGA